AAGUGCUCCACAUAGUGGAGAUAAUAGGGAACCGGGUGAAAAUCCCGGGCGAUCAGGUCACUGUAACAGACAGGGCCGGCGCACAAUGCCAUUGCCACAAGCGAGAAGGCGCGCCGCACCCGCAGGCUGAAGCCAGGAAACCUGCUUAAAC
rnacentral:ncRNA from 1 species